UACGGAGGGGGCUAGCGUUGUUCGGAAUUACUGGGCGUAAAGCGCGUGUAGGCGGAUCUGCAAGUCGGGGGUGAAAUCCCGAGGCUCAACCUCGGAACUGCCUUCGAUACUGCGGGUCUCGAGUCCGGGAGAGGUGAGUGGAAUUCCUAGUGUAGAGGUGAAAUUCGUAGAUAUUAGGAAGAACACCAGUGGCGAAGGCGGCUCACUGGCCCGGUACUGACGCUGAGGCGCGAAAGCGUGGGGAGCAAACAGG
rnacentral:rRNA from 1 species